GGCGCGCGCCCGGUGGCCGUUGGCGCUCGCGCCGCGUCUUUCUUCUCGGAGGAAACUGAGGCCUAGAUGUCAUUGGGACCCUUCACAACCGAUUUGAAGCCCCUGUUUGAAUCCCUGGGAUAUGUGAGCUGUUUCUAUGCAUAAUGGAUAUUUGGGAAAAAGACACUGAUCUACACUGCCAGUCAUUCCCUUUAAUCCUGUCAAACGCAGUCAAAAUGAGGGGCUUAAGCACUUGAGACCCCUUCUACCAGAUCUGAAGGACUACAGAUUGAAAGCACUGUCCAUUCCUCUCUUCUGCAGUAAAACAGAGGUGACAGAAAUGUACCAGUUCACCUUGGCAAAAGACUAAAGGAAUGCAAGAAAAGUUUUCCACUGAACUUAAAACUUACACUGACUUAAUAGCCUCACAGAACUGUUUGCCAGGGGGAGGCUUAUUGUCCUGUGUUGUGUCUGCAAGAUGGUUGGGCUCUCAGAUUCAAGGCCACUGAGUUUACUUCUGUUGAAACACUAUUGCAUCAUCCAAAGUAUGCUAUUGGACACAGUUAUUCCAUUCAAAUGGAUUACAAGCUUCCUGAGUACAGGACAAACUUACUCCUCACGAUGUUUUUUCAGAAUACUUUUAUUGUCAAGAAAGUAACAAAUGCCAGCUGUUAGUGAACAGAUACUAAACUUUUUCAGUAUUAUGGGUCAUAUUGACAUCAGUUGUUUUUGAUUGACCAGCAUCCAUUCCAUCUCUUUGUAGCAACUCUGUGAUGUUUCUUGGAACCACUUUUCCGUAUCUUCAGUCCACAUGAUUCAGACAGUCUGGCCUAACUUGAAGCUUCAUGGGUGGACAUGUAAUUCAGACCUGAUCAAUCAGCAUAGUCCAUUCUUUCACCAUAAAGAUUGGUUCUGGAAUGGUCGUGUGAUCCAAGUUGGUCCAGUGAUACUCAGCCCUAGGAGUUCUACUGAACUGUGGAGGAGAAGCUCAGAAGCUCUCUUUACCGAGGUUGCUUGGCUUUGUAGUAUGAAAAGCUCAAACCAACAGGGCCCACCACAUCAAAUGAGCCAGAGAAUGAAGCCAGUGCAGAGCCAAAUGAUGGAGAGACUUGAGUCCUGAUGACAAUGUUUGUGCCCCUGGAUCCAACUGUGCCUGAAGCUAGUAUAUCCCUAUGGACUUUUCAGUUAUGUGAGCCAAUAAAUACCCUUUUUUGCUUUAAGUUACUUUGAGUUGGGUUUCUAUUGCUUAAAAUUGAGUCAGUCCUGACUAGUAUACUGUCUACCAGCAUCAAAACUUGACAAAUUCAAGUAUUUAUUAAACUGGAGGUCAUGGCCACACUGAGGUCUUCCAAACCAGAAGACAAAGUGAAACA